rnacentral:rRNA from 1 species
CAAAGGAGCAAUCCGCUGAAAGAUGGGCUCGCGUCCGAUUAGGUAGUUGGCGGGGCAACGGCCCACCAAGCCGACGAUCGGUAGCCGGACUGAGAGGUUGAACGGCCACAUUGGGACUGAGACACGGCCCAGACUCCUACGGGAGGCAGCAGUGAGGGAUAUUGGUCAAUGGGGGAAACCCUGAACCAGCAACGCCGCGUGAGGGAAGACGGUUUUCGGAUUGUAAACCUCUGUCCUCUGUGAAGAUGACGACGGUAGCAGAGGAGGAAGCUCCGGCUAACUACGUGCCAGCAGCCGCGGUAAUACGUAGGGAGCAAGCGUUGUCCGGAUUUACUGGGUGUAAAGGGUGCGUAGGCGGCUUUGCAAGUCAGAAGUGAAAUCCAUGGGCUUAACCCAUGAACUGCUUUUGAAACUGCAGAGCUUGAGUGGAGUAGAGGUAGGCGGAAUUCCCGGUGUAGCGGUGAAAUGCGUAGAGAUCGGGAGGAACACCAGUGGCGAAGGCGGCCUGCUGGGCUCUAACUGACGCUGAGGCACGAAAGCGUGGGUAGCAAACAGGAUUAGAUACCCUGGUAGUCCACGCUGUAAACGAUGAUUACUAGGUGUGGGUGGACUGACCCCAUCC